rnacentral:rRNA from 1 species
UACGAGGCAUGUAAGCGUUAUCCGGAAUUAUUGGGCGUAAAGCGUUUGUAGGCGGGCGAGUGUGUUUAAUGUUAAAUCUUAAAGCUCAACUUUGAAAUUGCGUUAAAAACUGCUUGUCUUGAGUAUGGUAGGGGUAAAGGGAAUUCCCAGUGUAGCGGUGAAAUGCGUAGAUAUUGGGAAGAACACUAAACAGCGAAGGCACUUUACUAGGCUAAUACUGACGCUGAGAAACGAAAGGUAAGGUAGCGAAACGGAUUAGAUACCCGUGUAGUCUUACCCGUAAACUAUGGACACUAAACGGUAAAUUUUUAAUUUACUGUUAAAGCUAACGCGUUAAGUGUCCCGCCUGGGGAGUAUGCUUGCAAAAGUGAAACUCAAAGGAAUUGACGGGGGCCCGCACAAGCGGUGGAGCAUGUGGUUUAAUUCGACGGUACACGAAGAACCUUACCAGGAUUUGACAUGCUAGAUAGUUGCUUGAAAGAGUAACGUGCCGUAAGGAAUCUAGACACAGGUGGUGCAUGGCUGUCGUCAGUUCGUGUUGUGAAAUGUUGGGUUAAGUCCCGCAACGAACGCAACCCUUGUCUUUAGUUAUUUUCUAAAGAGACUGCCUGUAAUAAACAGGAGGAAGGUAAGGAUGAGGUCAAGUCAUCAUGCCCCUUAUGUCCUGGGCUACACACGUGCUACAAUGGGAAAGACAAUGAGCUGCAAAUCUGUAAAUUUAAGCAAAUCUCUUAAACUUUCUCGUAGUUCGGAUUGUGGGCUGCAACUCGCCCACAUGAAGUUGGAAUCGCUAGUAAUCGCCAGUCAGCUAUAUGGCGGUGAAUCCGUUCCCGGGCCU